rnacentral:rRNA from 1 species
AUUGAACGCUGGCGGCAGGCUUAACACAUGCAAGUCGAGCGGAGUGAUGGUGCUUGCACUAUCACUUAGCGGCGGACGGGUGAGUAAUGCUUAGGAAUCUGCCUAUUAGUGGGGGACAACAUCACGAAAGGGAUGCUAAUACCGCAUACGCCCUACGGGAGAAAGCAGGGGAUCACUUGUGACCUUGCGCUAAUAGAUGAGCCUAAGUCGGAUUAGCUAGUUGGUGGGGUAAAGGCCUACCAAGGCGACGAUCUGUAGCGGGUCUGAGAGGAUGAUCCGCCACACUGGGACUGAGACACGGCCCAGACUCCUACGGGAGGCAGCAGUGGGGAAUAUUGGACAAUGGGGGGAACCCUGAUCCAGCCAUGCCGCGUGUGUGAAGAAGGCCUUCGGGUUGUAAAGGACUUUUGUCAGGGAGGAAAUCCCUAGUGCUAAUAACACUGGGGGAUGACAGUACCUGAAGAAUAAGCACCGGCUAACUACGUGCCAGCCGCCGCAGUAA